rnacentral:ncRNA from 1 species
AAGUUUUAUUCUUGCUUUGGUAUUUGUUUUAACAUAAAUUUAUAUGCAGGUUUAUGCUGUAAUUUUUCUGAAGGGAAAAAAUAGUAAAGGGCAGUAAAUGGAAUUAUUGAUAUUAAAGUAAUUUAGAUUUAGUUAAUGUUUUAAGGGUCGGAUAAAGCUGUGCCAGCAUCUGCGGUUAUACAGCGGACUCAAGUAAAUAUUAUUGGUUUUUAAGUACUAAUUAUUAUAAUAAUAGAUUAAGGAGUCAAUAUAGGGUGAAAUAUUUAUUGUAUUUAAGAUUUAUUAAUUUAAAGUAAGAUAGUAUGAAACUGAAAAUAUAAACUAGGAUUAGAUACCCUAUUAUUUUUAAUGUAAAUAGGGAGCCUGAGUAUUAUUAGUUAAUAUCUUUAAACUUAAAGAAUUUGGCGGUAUUAUAGUCUGUUUAGAGGAAUCUGUUACGUGAUCGAUAAUCCGCGUUGAACCUUACUUAUAUAAUUUCUUGUAUACCGCUGUUUAUUAAGAAUACUUUUAGGUUAUUCUUUGGAUAAAAAAAUAUUUAGGGUUUCAAGUCAAGGUGCAGUUAUAUAUAAGUGUAUAAUGGAUUACAAUAAAAUCUAUUUAAAUGAAUUUAUACUGGAAGAGUAUAUUGAAGGUGGAUUUAAAUGUAAUUUUUUGAAGAUUGUUAAAAUGAUUAAAAGCUCUAUAAUAUGUACACAUCGCCCGUCACUCUCAUUUAUUAAGAUGAGAUAAGUCGUAACAAAGUAGAUGUAUCGGAAGAUGUAUCUAGAAUGUUUGAGUUAGUUUAU